ACUUGCCAUUUUUGGCUUUUGCCAGUGUGGAUUUUGUCUAAUAUGAAAAAAAGAAGAAGUUAAAUAAUGAAAUAACGAACUGUGUCUGCUUUGAGCUGCAUCCAAGCAUUGGAUAGUUCAUUUAACCAAAAGCUUCAUAUGAUCUUGGUUGUGCUCCAUAAUGUAUUUCAAGCUUACUUGCUUUAAGCUAUAGUUACCCCUCUGAUGUGAAUGAAUUCCCCUGAAGUUCCAGACAAUGUGGUCAUUGCUUUUUCAGAAGACAAGAUUACAAUGGGGAAUCCCAAAAAUUUGAAUGAAGCCGUAAUACUAAGGCUUUAAUACCAUGAAGGAUGAUCAAUUGUCUCAUAAGUUGAUAGAAAAUGGGGCAAAGAGUGUAGAUCAAUUGUCACUAAUGACACUGUUUUCUUUGCCAUUUGUCAAGUCAACUUUUACCACAUGCUGCAUAUUUAGUGCGUCUGCUUUCGGUGUACUUAAAGAGAUGUGCAUUGCCAGAAUUGAGUAUAAAGGUCUACUCAAUCACAAGGAGUUUGCUGAUUUCCAUGGAUGUCGGUGUGCAGUAAUUUCAGAAAAUAUAUUUUUAUCUAAUUUUGAUCCUGCUGAAAAGAAACCUUCCUGUUAGAUUGCAAAGACAGGGAUGGAUAUGUUGACCAGACCAGAAAGCCUAAUUGAUGUAGCACAGCCCGUAGGUAUUAGAUUAAGCACUUAAACAAUAGAACAGAGAAGAUUAUAAGAGAUCAAGGAGAAGAAAUUAUAGAUCGAAAAGAUGAAAGAAA